UCGAUACAGAUCGUCCUUAGCAGAUGACUGAACUCAGGGCUCCGGGAGGCGAGGACCAAGGAACCCAGAGCAAAGCCCUCAAAACUUUUAUGCGAAGGUUUGAGUUAGGGUUCAAAAAUAUGACCUCUGUAAAUACGAUAACAGGAAGUCAUCUUACCUUUCUCACAUUGGAAGAGCCACAUGCCAGUCUACGUGAGUGAGUGGAGAACACUUUCAAGCAUUGCUCAUGGACUCAACACAGCCAAACAAAACAAACUGGAAAAGGAAAAUCAGUGGCCAGAGUGUAGCCAAAGAACAGGAAUCCCCAGCUCACUGCCAGCUCGAUCUUCUGAACUAACGUCACAGGCGUCACACCAGGUACUCACAGCAGUGCAGACGAAGACUCACAACGAGGCCCUCCCCUCCGCAGACACGCAGACUGAGAGCCCAGGCGGUGCUGAGCGGCACAAAGGGUUUGCGUGGAGCCCGUCAUCCUUGAGAAGGUGACGCACUCUCCCAGCCUUGAGAGGUGGAUCGAGGAGGGGGGAGGCAGUCAGAGUGUGUGCGAGGUGCGUGGAGGCGAGCAGUGUUGCAACCCCUCCAGCUCAUCCUCGACAAAGCCGUGUGUGCCCACCACGAGGUGUAGCCGGCCAUAAAGCUGGCGUGUCAGAGGGAACUGUGGCCAGCCAGGGUCGCAAUCAAGGCCUAAACAGCAUGGGCAGCACAGGCAGUUCCCAUGGCCAGCUGGGGGACAGUGGCCUCCACCCUGGGAGCAAUGCAGAGGCCACAAGCCGAGCUGUUGUUACUCUUACAGCAUCUUUCCAGGCAGCGUGUGGGAGUCGGUGAGCGUUGCCCGUGUUGUCAGCUAUUGAGGCCUUUGUACAAAGAUCGUGGAUCAGGCUGCCUAAGCUCUGACUCGGAGACCAGCCACUGCUGCCUGCUCCGUGCACCCUGAACCCGUGGCCUUGCCCCACCUCUUGUUAUUGCCCACCUUAUUCCUUUCCCUCACUGCUCCCCUUGGUGCUGGUCCGUGGUCAGGAGCCCCCACAGCCUGCCCCAACCUUACUUCCCUGGUUCUAUUCAAACAUCCAGACUUAUCCCUUGUCUCAGAAGCCAAUCUUUGACACUAAGUGUCAGUCUAGCUAAGUCUGGGAGGCCGGUCUCACAAAGUCAACCUGCCAGUGCGAUGAUGGAGGAUGACACUGGAUGAGUUACUCCCUCCAGGUAAGAGUUCAUAUUUUUAUUCAUUUAAUUUCUUUGCUGGGGAAGAGUCGCCCUGAGCUAACAUCUUCUCCCAAUCUUCCUCUCUUUCUCUACUUUUCCAUCCCCAAAGCCCCAGUACCUGGUUGUAUAUUCUAGCUGUAAGUCGCUCUAGUUCUUCUGUGAGCCACUGCCACAGCAUGGCUACUGACAGACGGGUGGCAUAGGUCCACACCCAGGAGCCAAACCCAGGCCCCCAAACUGGAGCUGCCAAACUCACCCACUAGGCCAUCAGGGCUGGCUCAAGGGUCUGUAUUGUGACUAAGUCUCCAGGGCGGGCAGUCUUUUACCCCAAAGAGGGACCGGUACUUGGGAAUGUUGUCGCAGCAUCCCUCUCCUUGCGUCCUGGCCAGAACCAGGCACCCAGGCUGGGCUCCUGCUGUUCAGCUCAGCCCCUCGCCCAGUCCAGCUGGGUGCCCGUGUCUAUCUCCACACCCGUGUGUGAGCCCUGGGGGGCAGCGCCCAGCAGGAACCUGCAGUUGCAGAGCUCAGUGAAAGUCGGCUUGAACUCACUCUUUCAACAAAUUUUUGUUGAACUCCAACUGGGAGCAAAUACUGCUGCCUCUGGGAACCAAAGGGGACCUGCUCUGAAGAAGCCACUCCGCCGUGUGCGAGACGGUCAUGCUUUCUGCUUUGACGGGUUUACAUCCAAGCGAGAGAAGAGACGGUCCAGACGUAGGUAAGCCCACCACAAAGCCAGACACAUACAUAGCAGCGCUCCCCCCAUCUCGGCGACAGCGCGGCUGCGUGAAAUGCGCGGGCAGGCUCCUCCUCCCUGGUAUGGGAAGGACAUUCAAAUAGAAAGGGUUUUUCUUCUCAGUGUCCUAUUUUAUUAUGAAGCAUUUUGAAAAGUAAAGAUGCCAAUAUAGAAAAUAUCUUUAUUCACACCACCUAGAUUCAGUGAUUGUUAAACAUUCUGGCAUAUGUAUUUCAUUUCUCUUUUUUAAAUAAGGAAAUAAGGACCCCAAGAGCUGCAGUCCUUGAGCCUGUCCCUAAUUCCACUCUCCUGCCUCUUUCCGAGAGGUCGCUCUCUUCUAAGGCUGCUGCUUCCUUUAAUCCUCUUACUCCAUUUUUGUGCUCCAAUAAAUAUGUGCAGUAUCGGUGAUGUGUUUUUAGAAUUUAUGCGAAUGCAUUCAUACUGGGUAUUUUUUGCAAAGGGCUUUUUUAGUCUACAUUUUAGCUGCUUUAUGGUAUUUGUUUGUUGGCUAGAUCUCAGCUUCCUUGUUUGUUCAUUCAUUAUAAACAUGUGGCUCAAUUCUGAUCUCUUACUUGUCUCCUAGGAGUGGAAUUGCUGGCACACGGGGCAGAGGCAUCUUCAGUUAAAAUGGUUGAUGAGUGAUACUGUUCUUACCAACAGCUUUCUGUUCUUUAUAACCAUUUAUAUACUUAUUCUUCUUCUCAUUAUUAUUUAAAAAAUUUCCACCAAUGACUCAUAAAUGAGAAGCAAGUUUGCAUCGCACACUCCAGUACUGCAUAAAUAUUUCCCAGUUACCUUCCUUCCCUUCAAAGGACGAGGCGCCUCAUUUAGCCAGUCUCUGCCCAUCUGGAAUCCAUCCACAUCUGCUAGGGCCUCAUGCGCUCAGCUGGGAGCUGAGUCUUGAGAAGGGUCUGGGGACGAGUCUGCUAAGAACGUAGGGAUUCCCAGGAAGGGAGUAUCCGGUGGUGUCACGACUAGUCUCACAUGUUAAGAGAGCACAUGGACAAAAAUGUGUCCAUGAUUUAUGUUUCUUGACAUAAACUUCACAAUUCAGAAGUUAUAAGCCCAAAGCACACGUGGAGGAGAGGCUGCAGCAGUACUGCCCCCAAAAUGCUACCACUGACCAAAACAGUUCUUCAAAAUCACUCAAUUUUUGCAGCGUUAGUCUAUUUCAUAGCCAUUUGAUAUGUAACAUAGAAGGAUAAAGCACUUUUUAGGGGUUAGUGUUGUUUUAGGUUCUUUAAAUUCAUUAGACCUCUUGACCUUUACUAUAGGCUUUAGGGCGAGGUACCAUUUACAUCCUUUCUACAGAUGAGGGUACGGAUGCUGGGGCUGGGUGGAGGUAAGGAAUCCGCUCAAGAGGAUGCAGCCAGGAAAUGCAGAGGCAGGAUUUCAGACCUACUCUCCUGGGCCCUGGAGCCCCUGGUGUCACAGAGAGAUGACACAGAUUUUCACUUCAAAAAAUACACAAAACCCAUUCCUGCCCAAAGUGGUAACUUGAAUCUCAUCAAGAGAAACCAAACCAAAUCAAGGGACAUCCUUCAAAACAACUGAAAUACGCUCUUCAAAAGUAUCGAUGCACAAAAGACAAGAGCUGAGGAAGUGCUCCUGAUAGAAGGACGCUGAGGAGAUUUGACAGCUAAAGGUCACAUGUCAUACUGGAUUGGGGGAAGAUGCUGUAAAAAGGUUACAGGGACAAUGGGCAAAAUUGAGCACAGAAUGUAUUUUAGCUAAUAGUAUUAAAUCAACAUUAAAUUUCCUGAAUUUAAUCACAGUCAUUAUGAUUAUGAAGGAAACAUCCUUGCUCUUAGGAGAAAUAUUUCUUUAAUGAUUAGGCAUACCGAUUACUCCUAAUAUACCUAUGGAUUACUUGUUGUUUUUAAGAUUGGCACCUGAGCUAACAACUUGCCAAUCAUUUUUUUUUUUGGCUUUUUCUCUCCAAAUUCCCCCAGUAGAUAGUUGUAUAUUUUUAGUUGUGGGUCCUUCUGGUUGUGGCACGUGGGACACCGCCUCAGCAUGGCCUGAUGAGUGGUGCCAUGUCUGCAUCCAGGAUCUGAACCAGCAAAACCUUGGGCUGCCAAAGCAGAGCAUGCAAACUUAACCAUUCGGCCACAGGGCCGGCUCCUUGUUAUUCUUUUUAAAUGACUAUCCUAUUGUUAUCUUUUGGCAAUUUAAAAAUGAAGGUAUGGUAUGAAUAGAUUGAUUUCAAUUUGUUUUUUUUUAAUUAUUUUAUUGAAGUCAUAUCUACUCGUGUAAAUCUCAGGUGUACAUUAUUAUAACUCAGUUUCUGUAUAGACUGCAUCGUGUUCACCAUCAAUAAUCUAGUUUUUAUCUGUUACCGUACAUAUGUGUCCCUUUACCCCUUUUGCCCUUCCCCCACCCCCUUCCCCUCUGGUAACCACUGAUCUGUUCUCUUAUCCCUGUGUUAGUUUCUCUUCUGCAUAUGAGUGAAAUCGUAGAGUGUUUGUUUAAUACCCUCAAAGUCCAUCCAUGGUGCAAAUGGCACAAUUUUGUUUGUUCAUGGCUGAGUAGUAUUCCACUGUAUAAAUAUACCACAUCUUCUUCAUCUGUUCAUCAGUUGAUAGGCACUUGGGUGGCUUCCACAUCUUGGCUGUUGUGAAUGGUGCUGCAAUGAACAUAGGGGUGCAUAAGUCUCUUUGAGUUGUUGAUUUCAAGUUCUGUGGAUGACAAUUUGGUUUUUUUCAAGUGGAAUUUAUUGCAUGCAUACUGAAUGGUUCAUGGAGUCAAGGAAAGAACUGGAACAACCAGGGUAGGGGAAAAAGGAAGUGGCAUUAGAUGACGCCAUUUCUAAGGAUCUGGUGGGCUUCUUCAGGGUGAGCGCCCCAGCCCCUUAAUCACUAAUUGUUCUCUGUAAGGGCUGGGACAACCCCACCUCAUUAAAUGCCGAUUACACUCUUAGUUUCCUAACAUGGCGUGUGUCCCUAAAUUCAAAAUGUCAAGUUACAUUAAAAAUGCAUGAGCUUGCUUUAAUUUAAAGCCUACAGCCUUUGACUAAUUUGGGGGUGAAAGGGAGAAAGUCCCAUUGCAAAAUUUCAAAUUAAAUUGCUGAGGUUGGGGAAGCAGGGAAGGAGCACCCAAGAGCCUGUGGAUAUAAUCUUUUGAGACUCAGCCUGAGGAGGACUCUUCCGUGAGGCCCUCUCAGGUGCUCAGCUUGCCCAGAGCCCCUCCUGGGUGGUCCAGCAGCUCUUCUGUGGCACUUACUGAGUCAUCUUGUCAGGGGCCGUCUGGGUGUGCGUCUCCCCGUGACUGUACGUGUAACAAGGAAAGUCUCUGGCACUUAUUUCCUUUGGCUUUCAGGGCCUGACUUAGUGCCUGGCAUGGAGGGGGAAGCCAUAAAUAUUUAAGUUAAACUAAAUUUCUUUUAAAAAAUAGCUUGUCCAGAGGCCUCCUGUGUCUCUGCCUAGAUCUAAGAGUCAGGGUCUGAGGACUCCGCCGGCCACCGUGCUCACCGCUGUGUUUUAGACAGAAUUCUAAUAAGCUCAUCUGAUGUCCUGCCUGCAGUAAGAACAAGAACUUGGAACAAAGAAAGAGGGAAUGUAGUCUGCUCCUGGAAGAGAACGUUCACAGCAGCACUAAGGAAAAUCCUAAUGGAGACGAGGGGAAGAAAGUCAGGAACAGCGUGAGAGUCUGGAAAUAGGGACCCUGGUUGACAUCUCUUAAGGACCCUGCUGAUUCACCAAAAGACGGGGGGACCGUGCACCACGGGCUCUGGUGCAGAGGCAGAGAAGGGUACAGUCUUCUCAAAGGUUAAAAGAAAAUGUUAUGGAACAUUUAAAUUGGUUCUUUUUGGACAUGUCACCGUGUCCAAAGUGUAACAGAUGGGAGCUGCUGUGCGUUUUCAUUAAUCGUUGUUUUCGUGAACGUUCGGACGGUCCCUGCUUCUAAUUUUAAAGCAGACGAACAGAACAUUCUGUAUUUCUAAAAGAUCCCACCAAACGUGAAUUACUUUUGUGGCCCUCGACCAAGUUUUGUCAGAAAUAAAACCUGACUCUCCUCAGGCAGCUUUGUGACUCCCCAGGAAGAGACGAGAGCCAGGCUCCCAGCGUCCCCACCUCCUGAAGGAGACACUGCGGGCACAGGCAGCCUUUGCCGGCCUCCAUCCUCCCAGGAAAUAAAGACCCGGAGUCGCUGGGAUCAUGGACGCAGAGCCCCAACCCGUGACCACAGAGCGGUUCACCCCCACAGCCCCACGGGGCCUUGUGGGAGCCCUGCCUCAGGUCCGGUGCGCACGGGAAGCCCUGGGCCACACCCGACUUCCCAGAGCUCGGAAACAUCUGUGCUGCCUCCCGGCUCCUGGUUCCUUGGGCGAGAAGCCUCGCGCAGAACAGCCUGGGACCUGAGGCUCCAGCCUUCCAGGGAUCAGGCGCUGCCCCCUCCCCUCCACGUCCAGCCACCCCGCUGGCCAGCUCGCUGCCUCCCCCAGCUCUUGGGACCCCUCCCGGGAAGUCAGGGCCUUGAUGAGCUCCAGGGUUCUGCCCAGUUUCUCGGGCCUUGGCCCCCAAGCCACUGCUCCUCUUUGCCAGAGCUGGUGCUCUGCGGCCAAGGGACCACUGGACUGCUGCUCACCUCAGGGUCAGGCUGCGUCAGAGGACUGUGGGGAGAACAGCGGCCCCCAAGGGAGAUGCCCCAGGCCAGGCAGCCUCCAGGAUCAGAACCCAGCAGCGGCCUGGCGUGGACUCCACUGGACGUUUUGAGAACCGAGGACUUGGUGACUAGAUACUUCUGUCAGCCUUGCCCUCCCAUAGCUACACUUUACCAAUUUUUGGAAUAAACAAUUGCCACUACCUGAGCACAUCGCAAGUCUCUAUACGGUUUUACAAAUCUGGGGCAUUUAACGUAAUUUUCCAUAUUCUUAACUCAGCGACUGAGAGGUUCAGAGAUUAGAACAAUCUUUGGAAAAUACAUUCCUCAGAGGUCCAGCGUCUGCUCAACUGGGAACAACUUUGAAAAAAGGCAGAAGGGCAGAUGUGAGCUAUGAGGAGAGGGAAAAGACGGGAGGAACGGGAUACGAGGUUGCUCAUGCCAAGAUGUGAAUGGGCCAAAAAGCCCCAGUGCCUCCUAAUUUCUUACGUGCCUGCACUUCCUUCCGGCCAGUGCUCCCCAGGGAGUUUCCUCCAACGCCUCCAUCGGUCCCCGGGCCUCGCAGCAGCCGUGCUGUGUGGUCCGCACACAGGCGAUCUCGGGAAUACUGGGUUGGCACCAGCAGGAGAACUGUUCGUACGGACACCCGAGCCCACCGGAAAGACAUGGGGAAGGGCACCACGGGCCUGCUCUCUGGGCUGGACGCUGGGAUUAACCCUCCAGAGAAGCAGAAGAGGCCAGGGCUGCCCCCACCCCCAGGACGGAGAGCCCGCAGGACGGCAGGGACCUCUCUGGGAGCGGCCUCGGCUUGCGAGCCCCCAGGCGCUCAGUAAUGGAGAGAUUCUGAGUGUAACACUGCCCGGUGACUGGAAGAGAUGUCACCGUCACCAGCUGUGGAUGCUGGGUGGCAGCAGGAGGGAAUGAAGCCCGUGGACAAAAACCAAGAGAGAGACUGACGUGAAGUGAGGCCCUGAGGGUCCUGCUGGGGGCCUGGAUCCACGGCUGGACCCCAGGGUGGAAGGUCGCUCAGUUAACCUGACGUGAGUUGAUUUUCCUUCAUGUACGACCAGAAUGAACCGACGGACUCAGCGGUCUCCGACAUUACUUUUGAGAGCAGAACCACAGAAAGGAGAGCUCGUAACUCAAAAAGGCUCAGAGAAACAGAAGGCACAAAGGAUUGUGGAGAGGGGCUCUUGUUCCCGUGAUACAAGUUGUAUAAUAAAUAGUCACAGCACCUGACUGUCUCUGUCAUUACACGCAUGACGCUCUUCUGAAGGCCUCUAUGUAUUAAUUCACUUAAUCCUCCUAAGAACCCCAUGAGGCCAGUGCUAACAUCAUUAUCCCCACUGAACAGAUGAGGGAAAUCGAGGCGCAGAGAGGUUCAGUAACUUGCCUAAUGCAGCACAGCCAGGAAACAGAAGACAGGGGUGCUGAGUCAAGGUGGCCUGGCUCCCCAGCCGUGACCCUGCUCACACGUCCUGUCCCAGGAAGCGGCUGCUGACGGUGACCGGUGGGCUGGAGGUCCUGCUGUCGAGGUUGGGCUUCCUCUGACCGGUGGCUUCGUCUCCUGGUGGCCGACUCCUUCGGAGAACCAGCCACCUGGAAAACGAAAGGCAGACGGCAAAGCCUGCUGAAUUCAGUGGAUCGUCUGUGCUUAGGAUGGAGAACGAUCAACCGGUUCACUCACUCCUAAAACAUUUUAAGAACAAAGCUUGUGGAACCUGUCAAAAAAGAAAUCACAGACAGAAACUCCACUUGGGUCUACAUUUUGGCCAAUUAACAUGAAAAAAAAUACGAAGAAGGAAGGAGGAGGUGACGAAAGAAGAGAAAGGGACCAGGACUGACGAAGCGGUGCAGAGACGGAGGCAGAGGAGCGCCUGCGCGGAGCAAUUGAGAAAGAAAGGAACGACAGUCCAGGUUAGACACCCGGACAGAGACAGAGAGAGCUGGGGGCACAGAAACACAAACCCCCCCAGGAGUGGGCAGGGCCAGCGGUCAGGGCCCUGAGCAGCCGCGUCUCUGCUGCCCGUCCCUGGAGCGAACGCAGCGCCCGCCACGGAGAGCACCCUGGGAGGAGCCGGCGGCGCAGGAGUGGAAGGUGGACAGCGACCCGGGGCGACGCGGACAGGGAGCACGGCUGUGCGGCUCUUAGCACGUAGAGCCUGGGAUCAGGGGGACUCGGGUCGGAUCUUGGCUUUGUGGCUUCAAAUUUCUGUGAUUUGGGUAAUGUUCCCAUAACUUUUGAUCUUUUUGUGUGUCAGUUUCUUCAUAUGUGAAAGUAAGGCUAUGCUCCAGAUAUUGAGCUGUUUUUCUCUUUUCUCCCCACCACCCUUCCACACUCUGCUUUGUGAGGCUCUGGCUGGCCCUCUGAAGACCACGUUUCAGGUUUGCAAACUGGCUUCCUAGCCCUGCUGACCGUGGGCACCAGGAGGACACUGGAGGGACCAAGAAUGACGAAGGGACUUGUCCGUCCUUGUCCAGGCCCCCGCUCGUCUUCCUGCUCCUGAGAGCCUCAUGUCCCCAAAGCUUUUCCUUCGUAGCCACAGCAACUAAACCCAGUUUGCAGUUUUCCGGCACCCACAGGGCCAGCUUCCCUGAGCCCCCAGAGCCCCCAGCACCAGCGGAGGCCUGAGGCUCCCUGCUCUGCACACCUGGGUUUUGAUGGUCCCAGCCUCCGCCCGCGCCCUCCCAGCCUGGGGACAGCGGCUGCUCCUACAGUUGCUGCCUCCUUGAUAGCUUAGAGGCCCCUUUUUACCCUUCUAGUUACUAGUUAUCAGCUAUGUACCUGGUUGACAACUUUGUUUUCCAUUUUCUCUGUUUAAAGAACUAGUAUGGUUUCUGUCUCCUGCCUGGACCCUAAUUGAAACAGGAUAACAACACCUACUUCAUGGAGGCGUGAGGGUGGACUGAAGAGGGCUCAGAACAUAGCCCGGCUGUGGCAAGGCGCAGGCAGCGUGAGCUCCAUAAUCCACAGGGACAGCAGAACGUUAGACAGCAGUGCCGGCGUGACACAGGUGCCUCCCACGGAGGACCCUGACUUCACCACCUCUGAAGAUGCCGACAGGUGUGGUCUCCCUUGCAGCUACGGGCUCAGAUGAAGGUCCCAGUCAGGCACCAUGUCACUGAAUCCAAGACACUAUUGAUCGUCUCACACACAACUAAUCCUGUGUAUCACUAAGAAAGUUAAAAUUCACCACCAAACUAUGAUCAAACUAUGAUCACAAGGCUCAUCUUCAUAUUAGAGAGAUUAAAAUGUGUGUCUGAGAACGGAUGAAAGAGAGUAUUUACACUGAGCUGUGCUGAAUGGUAGUAACCUUUGGAUGGAUCUGUAGCCAUUCUUUAUCUCUUCCUCUUUAGCACCAAUAUUAAACAUGCGCGCGUGCACACACACACGCACGCACACACACACACACUCUUAGGAAAGGUGAAGGAUAAAAGCAUUUCCUGGCCUUGUCCCCGAGGAAACCAACAAUAGGAAAUUGGCCCAAUACGUAAACCUUCCCCUUGGUUCAGUCUGGCCUUUUUAACAAAGAGCUUGCCCCUCUCCCAGCAAACCCUCCCCGUUUUUUGAGCAAAAUAACCUCGCCCACAAACACAGGCAAGUCACAGUGUGCUUUCCGCUCAGACUGGGAGGGGGUGGGACCUCAAGCGGGAAACGUCCUUGCUGGUCAGCACAAUGGACGCUGGAUGAGUCCUGUGUUCAGCACACUCUGGGGUCUGCCUGCCUCAGGCUUGAGCUUCAGUCCAAGUGUGCUUCUGGAGUGUGGUCACAAUCAGAAAAACAAGGGGUGCAAAAAUAACGUGGCAUGAGUCAUGUAUUUCUGCCCCAAACAAGCCCUCACUCUAGCCGGCCUGCGCGGCCUCAAGCCCUCACUCUAGCCGGCCUGCGCGGCCUCAAGUUCUCACUCUGCACGGUACAGACAUGACCCCCGGAGCGCCAGGCUGCAGAGCCGCGGGGAGACCCUCAGUGAACUCAAGGGCAGUGGGCUGGAGCUGGCACGGCUCUGGAGAAUGAGUGCCUGAAGCCUUAGGAGUUUUGCAGCCACUUGCUGACAUGUUGGUGACUUGAACUCAGCUGUGUGGUGAGUGUUCAAACACGGCAACCAGCCACCCGUACACAUCAGAUCCUUUUCCUUCCGAAAAGCUGGUCGUUGAGCAUUUGCGAGCACACUGCUGUCAAGGGUGGGUCCUCCUGGGUUGCAGAGAGUGGCUUUGACCUCGUCUCAGCGAAAUGAGACUAAGCGUGUGGGAAGGGGACAGAGAGCAGUCCCUCCUUGGUCCUGAGCGAGGACGGAAGUCCUCGCGCGCUCGGCACUCCACAGCCCCUAGAGCAAGGUCCGCAGGCGUUCUCGAAAGGGCCAGCGAGUCGGCAUUUUCUGCCCUGCAGACCAUCUGGUGGCUGUUGCUAUUAUUCAGUGUUCCCCCUGCCGCACAAAAGCAACCACAGGCAAUGCGUAGACGAUGGGUGUGGCCGUGUUCCCACAGAAUUUUAUUUACGGACGCUGAGACUCGAAUUUCAUAUCGUUUCCACAUCACGAAAUAUAAUUAUUCUUUUGAUCUUUUUUCAACCACUCUGAGCUCGCGGGCUACACAAAAUCAGCUGGCAGGCUGGAUUCGGACGGUGGGCCGUCGCCUUCCUGGUGUUGCCUUGAGAUACAACAUGCUGAAUAGUGUAAAGACGUGAGAGCUGACCCACGUCUCAGCGAAUAGUAACAGCAACUCUCAUUACUGGGUAGUUUCUGCACCAACAGCCGUCCUAAGAGUUAUAUGUACAUUCGCUCAUUUAAUCCCUAAAAUGACCCCAGAAUGAAUACUAUUUUGAGACUUAGUGAAGAAAAACCACAUGGCCAAGUUCAGGCAGUGGGAACACGCAGACUGUAAAUUUGAAAGUUUGUGCUCCCAGCCUAUGCCACCCGGCUGGAAAUCCUGGGUCUUGUGUGCAGGAAACAAUCUUGAGCAUUCGCCAGCAACUCACAAAUCUUUCCCGUUUUUCCUCCCCCUUCACAGGAACCAGAACCCAUCCAGCAAACCUACCCAGAAAAACAGUAAGAUGGGCAAAGUCACAUUUGCGACUUUUUAUCUUUUUUAAAGAAUUUUAUAGAAUACGGAAGUAGGUUGAGUAACGCUUGCAGUUUAUUUCCAAAAAUCAGGCUAAUGCAGGGCACCUGCGUCACAUGAGCCAACGUGUGUCCUUGGGCUCCCACGACUGACACACCGGAGAGUCCGAGCGCCGAGCAGCAUCUCCACCCCUGGAGCGGGCGGGACAAAGCUGGGCGCUCUGCUUCAAAUCAGCCCUUUUUUACAAGGCACAGAAAUUAAUUCUUGAGAGGACAGUAACUCCUGGCGGGAAGAAAAUUAUUGACGUUUUGUGUGUAUGUCUGUGUGUGUAUUUAUGGAAGUAAUAUUCAGAAAUGGAAAAAACCCAUAAGUUACAAGGUUAAAUUAAUCCUAGGAGAUUGUCUUAAUUUCUGUAAUUAUCUUACCACUACCUUAGUAAAAAAAAAAUCUCAUGAAGCAAAUACAAAAUGUUAAUAUUGUCGGAUCUAAGUGAGAUAUUUUGUUAUUAACAAUUUUGUUUAGAUGCCUAAAAGCGAUAGUAUGACUAAAUAAAAGAUAGCUUCUCAAGAAGAACAUAAAUAACUUUCCUCAGCUUGAUCUCUAAGAUAAAUCAGAGGGAUGGUGACCUGGGUGCACCUGAGUGGCGUCCUGACGAUGAUUUUCCAGUUAGGUCGGCCCUGACCACAGAUGAUCCUCCACUUGGCUUGGAAACAAGCUCAAUCUAUCUGUGCCAGUAAAACUCAGAAGUCCAGGCACACAUUGCAGGGAAAGCCUAGCUCAACCUUGAAGACCAGGAUAAACAUUCGCUGGCUUAUGGAGAAGGCUGAUUUGUCCCCGUGGGCAGCUGGCUCUUUAAACGAUAAAGUGGCAUGCCAGCUUACCCUUGAAAAGGGUCAAGCAUGGCGAUGGAUCCCGGUGUCAAAAGAAGCACCAGCUGUGGGAUGGGGAUGAUUGAGAAGACUGAGGGUAUCCAGAGCUGGUGAGAGGUGGGGAAACAGGCCCACACGUGCAUUUCUGGCAGGAGGGUAAAUUGGUGCAAUCUUCCUGGGGGAACAUUCGGCAGCAUGCAGAAAAGCCUUUUCUAAAAGCCUUUGACUUAGGAGUCCCACUCCUAGAAAUCUGCCCUACGUAAAGAUUGGGUAAAUGUGUUAGGAUGAACACACAGGAUGUGAACUACUGCAGAGUUUAUAGUGCUGAUCAAUUUGAAAUAACCUGAACAUUUAUCACUAGGAAUUUGGUUAAAUAACUAUGGCGUAUCGACACAGUGAAAACCACAAGGUCACUAACCAGAACGAUAUGGGUCUACAUUUAUAGAUAUGGAAAGACAGACGUUUAUAUGUUGCUAAGGGGGAAAAAACCACGUGUCCUCUGAUUCUAUUGGGGACAUGUGUGUGUGUGCGUGCGUGUGUGUGCAUGCACACAGGAAAAAGUGUGACCAGUGUAAUGUUUACAGCAAUUAUUGCUGAGUAGAAUCAACUUAAUUUUAAUUUUAUAUUUCUCUGAACGUUCUGAAUUUUUCAGGAAUAUGUAAGUAUUAUUGUCUUAAUUAGAAAAAAAUUUGCAUAAACAAAAAUUCUCCAAGAACUGGCCAGUGAUGUCCGCUUGUCCUCUUCCUUUAUGCUGAGCCCUCUAGUUACUUCUGACACAGCUGCUUUCCUCACGACGUCUGCUCAUCGGUCCCCUACCGCAGGGUUCUCAGAGGCUGAUGUGUUCAGGCAUUUGCACUUUGUUGAGGCUCUUAGCAUACAUAUAUGUGUGUUUCUUUAAAGGAGAAAUGACAAAAGAGAGAUACAAGAUUUGUCGUCUGUUGUAACUGUCUACACUUAACAAAUUAACCCUUUUAUCGUCAGGAAGGACAUUCCACGCAAUUCUACGUAAGUUUCAUUUGCAGCAGCGGACCACAGACUGCGGUGACGGCCACAUAAAGCCGUGUUCUUCCUCCCCGGCCCCAUGAGUGUCUCCAGGCCCGGCUGUAUGCUCCUCUGGAGAUGAUGUAAGAGAUCAAAAUACCCCAAAUUGAAAUCUGAGGCCCUUGGGAAUGUGUGCCUGGAGUCACGUGACCCUCCUGACAUCCUCGUCACAGCUCUGCCCCUGUCCCAUGCUGGACGGUCAGGCGAUGGCAGUCUCUCCUCUACCCAGCCCCGCUGUCCCUCCUUCGGCUUUUCCUGGACCGGGCGCUGAGUCUGGGCCUACAGCUCCCUACAUGCACUCUAGGUGCUGCUGGGCUAUUUCCGCCCCACGGCCUUCACGCCGGAGAGCCCACCAGCCCAGCCGCCUGCUGCAGGACGCUGAGGCCAACACCACCCCAUGCGCUGAGGUUUCUCUGCUGCCUGCAGAACGAAACUCUGGAAACAGUGACUCAGGAGCCGUGUCAAGACAGCAGCAUCCAAGAUGGGGAACCACAGGCCAGGCUGGACCAGGAACCUUCGACAGCCACCCAUGUUCAGGAAACAGCCCGAGACCACAGCCUGCACUACGAGCAGGAGUCGUGUCAACACUUCUGCACACCUGGGAAACUCGGCCCUGCCCAAUGCCUCCCGCCAGUGACAGAGCAGCCUGGGCCCCAGCACUCUGAGCAGGACGGGGAGGGGCCUGGAGCAGAACCCGCUGUGCCAGCCGCAGGAUCUCCUUGUUCUGCUGAAUGACCAGUAAGCUGGACGGAGGUGGACAGGGGGACUCAGAAUCCUCAGGCAGCUCCCAUGGGGAAACUGAGCAAGGGCGACCGUCAAGGAAGAAGAUGCGACACAGCCACUCUGCAGCCGUGUGACCCGGAGGCCGCAGCAGGAAUGGACGCGACGGACGCAAAGACAAGAGGUGCCACGAAGAGGGCAGGGGCCACGAAGAGGGCAGGGGCCCUGGAAAACACUUUCUUUCCAUUGCUUUUGAACCUCUGGUCAGUGACAGCGAUAGUCCAUGCAGGGCCUCUCCCUUAAUUUACUGAUAAAUUAAUUUAUGUAAUAAAUUACAUUAUUACAUAAUUAUUACAGUAAAUUAUUUCCAGCUACAUCCACCGUCACCCCAGGCUCCUCUCAUCACAGGCGAUCAUUUUAAAGAGCUUAGUGUGAAUAUUUUUAUUUGCAUAUGUUUUUUCUUUUUUUAAAAAAGAUUUUAUUUUUCCUUUUUCUCCCAAAGCCCCC
ensembl:lncRNA